UACGGAGGAUGCGAGCGUUAAUCGGAUUCACUGGGCGUAAAGCGUGCGCAGGCGGCCCGUUAAGACAGGUGUGAAAUCCCCGGGCUCAACCUGGGAAUGGCAUUUUGAACUGGCAGGCUCGAGUUCUGAAGAGGGUGGUAGAAUUUCCAGUGUAGCGGUGAAAUGCGUAGAUAUUGGAAGGAACACCGAUGGCGAAGGCAGCCCCCUGGGCCUGUACUGACGCUCAUGCACGAAAGCGUGGGGAGCAAACAGG
rnacentral:rRNA from 1 species